AGAGUUUGAUCCUGGCUCAGAUUGAACGCUGGCGGCAUGCUUUACACAUGCAAGUCGAACGGCAGCAUAGGUGCUUGCACCUGAUGGCGAGUGGCGAACGGGUGAGUAAUAUAUCGGAACGUGUCCGGAAGUGGGGGAUAACGCAGCGAAAGUUGCGCUAAUACCGCAUAUGCCCUGAGGGGGAAAGUGGGGGACCGUAAGGCCUCACGUUGUCGGAGCGGCCGAUAUCAGAUUAGCUAGUUGGUGGGGUAAAGGCCUACCAAGGCGACGAUCUGUAGCGGGUCUGAGAGGAUGAUCCGCCACACUGGGACUGAGACACGGCCCAGACUCCUACGGGAGGCAGCAGUGGGGAAUUUUGGACAAUGGGGGAAACCCUGAUCCAGCCAUGCCGCGUGAGUGAAGAAGGCCUUCGGGUUGUAAAGCUCUUUCGGACGGAAAGAAAUCCUAUUCACUAAUACUGAGUGGGGAUGACGGUACCGUAAGAAGAAGCACCGGCUAACUACGUGCCAGCCGCCGCGGU
rnacentral:rRNA from 1 species